rnacentral:rRNA from 1 species
UCGAUUAGCAUGCUAGUCGUACGAGUUCAGACUCGUGGCAUAAUAGCUCAGUAACACGUGGCCAAACUACCCUUCGGAACACAAUACCCUCGGGAAACUGAGGCUAAUAGUGUAUAUCACUCUCACGCUGGAAUGACUGGUAUGUCAAACGCUCCGGCGCCGAAGGAUGUGGCUGCGGCCGAUUAGGUAAACGGUGGGGUAAUGGCCCACCGUGCCAAUAAUUGGUACGGGUCAUGAAAGUGAAAACCCGGAAACGGAAUCUGAAACAAAAUUCCGGGCCCUACGGGGCGCAGCAGGCGCGAAACCUUUACACUGCACGACAGUGCGAUAGGGGGAUCCCAAGUGCAAGGGCAUAGCGCCCGUGCUUUUCGGUACCCUAAGGGGGUACCAGAAUAAGGGCUGGGCAAAACCGGUGCCAGCCGCCGCGGUAAUACCGGCAGCCCAAGUGAUGGCCGAUUUUAUUGGGCCUAAAGCGUCCGUAGCUGGCCGCGCAAGUCCAUCGGGAAAUCCACCUGCUCAACAGGUGGGCGCCCGGUAGAAACUGCGUGGCUUGGGACCGGAAGGCCCGACGGGUACGUCCGGGGUAGGAGUGAAAUCCCGUAAUCCUGGACGGACCGCCGAUGGCGAAAGCACGUCGCGAGGACGGAUCCGACAGUGAGGGACGAAAGCCAGGGUCUCGAACCGGAUUAGAUACCCGGGUAGUCCUGGCCGUAAACAAUGUCUGCUAGGUGUGGCUCCCACUACGAGUGGGUGCUGUGCCGUAGGGAAGCCGCUAAGCACACCGCCUGGGAAGUACGUCCGCAAGGAUAAAACUUAAAGGAAUUGGCGGGGGAGCACUACAACCGGAGGAGCCUGCGGUUUAAUUGGACUCAACGCCGGACAUCUCACCAGCAUCGACUGUAAUAAUGACGACCAGGUUGAUCACUUUGUCAGAGUUUCAGAGAGGAGGUGCAUGCCCCCCGUCAGUUUUUCCCGUGAGGUUUCCUUUUAAGUCAGGCAACGAGGGGGACCCGCACCCUUAUUUCCCAGCAGUCCCGCGAGGUAGUUGGGGACAUUAGGGGGACCGCCGUGGCUAACACGGAGGAAGGAACGGGCAACGGUAGGUCAGUAUGCCCCGAAUGGGCUGGGCAACACGCGGGUUACAAUGGUCGAGACAAAGGGUUCCAACUCCGAAAGGAGACGGUAAUUUCAGAAACUCGUUGGUAGUUGGGAUUGGGGGUUGCAACUCGCCCCCAUGAAGCGGGAUUCGUUAGUAUUGGCUGUUCAUAAGCGGGCGGUGAAUACUUCCUUGUUCUUUGCCCACACCGCCGGUCAAAGCACCGGAUUGGGGUCCGGAUGAGGCGUACCUCGUACGUCGAAUCUG